rnacentral:lncRNA from 1 species
GUAAAACAGGUAGAAUUACCAUAUCCCACUCUAAGGGGUAGUUGAGGCCCCUGGAGAAGUCUGGAGAAAGGAGACCUCCAGAGUUGAUGCCAUCUCUUCCUCCUCUCCAGGUGUUCUUUACUUUAUGAAUGAAGCCAGAGCAGCCCACCUUCCUGCAUCUCUACCACCAUGGCACCAUGCCCUGUGAUGGGUGGGCUGGAGUCAAAUAUGUAGCAGGCAGCCAGGGUCAGUUUGUGGCCACUGCUGCCCCCUCUUCCUACAGUCUCCUCACUGAGUGCCCCUUCCCUGUUGGGUUCAACACAUCUGUGCUCCUGUAAGCCCUCAGCCUCCUCGUUCUCUUCCUCAACUUCUACCACCAGACACAUCUGAGAAGCAAGCAAGAGAGGCUGAACUAGGAGCAGGACCCAGGGACUGAAACCAGCACAGCAUCCCCACAGAGAAUUGGGUGGAAGGCAGCAUGGCUUCCAGCUUACUGGUGCUGAGCAGAUUGCUCUGGGUCUCCAUUGUAUCCUCUGAAGGAAGGAGGAGGAUUGCCUUCUGUCCAGAUCUCAGGAUCAAACAAAUAGGUCCAAUUUCCUGUGCUCACUUCAGUUAGAGCACUUCUCAUGUGACUUUGUAGCUUUGUGUGCAUCUCCUUCCUCUACUAGACCUAAGCCCCUCACGGGAGGGACUCUCUUAUUCUUGAUGUUCCCCACACCUGGAAUUUCAAUAAACAUCUCAAUA